GAUGCAGGACCGUCCGAUUAGAGUAUCUCACGGAUCAACGCGUUUGCAAAUAUAACCGUUAGCAAAAUGCGUUUGCUGUGAAGACGCAACAAUAAAUAUCAGAGGAAAUAUUUCUCCAGUUCUCUCGAUCAAUCGGCGAUAUUUUUUCUUGAUAUCUACAGAUCGCGAAUUUGUUUCUCUGAUUUUAUAAGUUUGUAAUCGAUCUAGGGUUUUGAUGGUACUUGGAAGAUAAAACUGCUACCGUCGUCUAGAUUUCUUCUUCGUCAUGGGUUUUGAAGGAUGCUUGAUUCGGCGUGAAAUUGCUACCAUCGUCAGGGUUUCUUCUUCCGCUGGUGAUUUUGGGUUUUUUCUGAAAGCUUGUCUCCGCUUGAAGAAAUCCUUCAAGGUAUGUCUGUCUCUAUCUUUCCCGAUUUUAAUUUUUGGUUUUGGUGUUCGUUUUUGUUUUUCAGUUUCUGAGAUUAAAAUCGAAUGAGAACAAACAUGUAUGAUCAGUUCUUGUCGAUGAGAUCCAAGAACAAAAUUCUUCUUUUAAUAAGAUUUUCAAAGCCUUUUAAUUGUUUUGCAGAUUCUUAAUUUUGGAAUCAAGAUUUUGUUUUCUCUAUCCAAGAACAAAACUCCUCUCUUUAAUAAGAUUUUCAAAAGAUUUUUGGUUCUUGAUGUUUUUGUUUUUCUUUCAAAACCCAAAAAAAAAUCAUGGGCAGACAUUAAUAUGAUAGUGUUCUGUCAGAUUCUUUUUGGGGACAUUGUCCCGAUAAGAAUUAUAAACUGAAUCGGAUCUAUUGGAUGGGUAGUGCAUGCAUGUUGGGAGAUGGGAAAAGAUUAUUGACCGGUUUCAGUUUGUAUGAUGGGAAUGACCAACGGCUUAAAAAGUCUCAGACAAAAGACUGAAUCAAGGAUAAUUGUUGGAUGGUACAAACGACCAACACCUUGUUGCCACUCUCGGCUUAGAAUAAACACAAGGCAACAAGUCAAAGACUUUGGGUUGGAUGCUUAUUACGACCAACCACUUGUUGUAGACCAACGGCUUAAAAGGAGGCUUAAGACACAAGUAUUUGACAAAGUACUAUGACAAGAGUAUGCAUCGGCUUAAUAAGUCUAAAUCAAAGACUGAAUUUUGCAACUCUCGGCUUAAAAAACACACAAGGCAACAAGUCAAAGACUUUGGGUUGGAUGCUUAUAACGACCAACCACUUGUUGUAGACCAACGGCUUAAAAAGAGGCUUAAGACACAGGUAUUUGACAAAGUACUAUGACAAGAGUAUGCAUCGGCUUAAUAAGUCUAAGACAAAGACAAGUCUGCAACUCUCGGCUUAGAAAAAUCACAAGACAAUAAGUCAAAGACUUUGGGUUGGAUGCUUAUAACGACCAACCACUUGUUGCUACUUUCGGCUUAGAAAUAUCACAAGACAACAAGUCAAAGACUUUGGAUUGGAUGCUUAUAACGACCAACAACUUAAAAGGAGACUUAAGACUCAAGUAUUUGACAAAGUACUAUGACAAGAGUAUGAAACGGUUUAAUAAGUCUAAGACAAAAACUGAACCUAAAAUUAGUACAAAGACUGAACUUAAGUCAUGAAAAUACGACCAAAAGAAUUUGAAGAACAAGGUAAGUAUAGGGCAUUUACAUUAUAUGAAGACUAACCAAUUAUGUUUUCCUCAGGUACGCGCCUUUGAAGACUUUGAGGAGAUUUCAAGUGUAGCAGACUUCUUUGACAGGUAUAUGCUUCAAAAGGUGGUAAUAAUCUCAUUGACGCCAAUGAGUUCUCAUUUUCAAGUGUAGCAAAAUUCUAUGACUAGGUAUAUGCUUUUCUAGACUUUUCUAUGAUAAAUUGAUAUUAUUACAUGUGAAAAUUUACAAAUUAAGUUAAGUGUUUUAUAUAUAACUUAAGUAAAGAAAUUAGAAAUGCAAAUCUAAGUAUCAUCUAUAGUUAGAAAUGUUUCUUAAACACUUGUCUUGAUAGCAUUAGUGUCUUUGAUCUAGAAUCCGUCAGAUUCUAAUUGCUAAUAUUAUUCAUUGAUAAAAGGUAGAAUUUGCUUUGGGUACAUUCUGUGUUUAAAAUAUUUAUUAUUUCUGUUUGGUGCUAAUAUGUAUGUUACUAUGUUAGGGUAUCUAGGUGACUCAUAUAAAUUCUUUUAGUAGUAGUUUAUUUGAAUCUCAAAUGUAUUUGUUUUCGCGUUAUUCUCUAAACCAUGGUGAUAACAUAUGAAACGCCAUUCUACAUCAUACACAAAUAUAAAGGUAGAUUCUACUUAUGGAUAUUGGAAAUUUUUAAUUGUGUGUAAAAUGUUUGUUAUCACUGUUUUAGUGUUUCUAGGUUUCUGAUUUUAUGAAAUACAUGGAUCUUGUAGUCUCUUGUAGAUAUUUAUUUUGAAUGUUGGUGAGACUACUGCAAAUGAUGUAGUUUUCUUGAAUGUUUUUGUUUUUGUUUUAGGUUAUGCUCUAAUCCCAUGGUGAUUGACAUUUUGAAAUUCUGCAUCAUCAAAUGAUGAUUUCUGUGUUAGAUUCUAUAAAUUAUACAUGUUUGUCUUGUUUGUUUACUAUACAAUGAGUGAAAUUAUCUCUGUUAUGGUACCAGUGUCUGCUUUUAGUUUAACAGAGUUGAUGGAACUUGAUAAUCUAUUGAAUCAAUAGAAUGUGGAAUAUAUAUUUCUUGAUUUUCCUCCCAUGUUUUUUGUUUUAAUAACACUUUUCUGUGAUUGAUAUAAAUUAGUACACUUUUAUCAUCCCCACUGUAGGCAUGUGGAAUAGAUGCUCUUGUCUUUUCUGCUCUUUUAUGUGGACUACAUGUAUUCUUUUUCCACUAUUUUGUUUCAGCUAUUCAGAAACCGUAGUUUUUGCUAUACAGAUUUUAGACGUCGAAGUUCUUGACUCUCUACUAUAGUAGACAUAUUUAUGUACAAAUUCCAGUGUUCUGUUUGUUACUCAGCAAAAUAGCUUAUUGAGUUACUAUCAUAGAAUACUGUAUAAGAGUUUUUGUUCAGUUUAUGAGAAACGACACAACUAUAAGGUAUAUCUCACAGUAUUAUGGCAAUUGCAGGUAAAUUCAGCUA